AUAGUACUCCCUCUGUCCGGAAUUACUUGUCGCGAAAAUGUAUAAAAGUGGAUAUAUCUAGAACUAAAAUACGUCUAGAUGCAUCCAUUUCUUUAACAAGUAUUUCCGGACGGAGGGAGUAUAUG
rfam:Triticum urartu cultivar G1812 contig422357, whole genome shotgun sequence.